rnacentral:rRNA from 1 species
GACGAACGCUGGCGGCGUGCUUAACACAUGCAAGUCGAACGCGUGUAGCAAUACACGAGUGGCGCACGGGUGAGUAACGCGUGGAUAUCUGCCUUUUGGUUCGGAAUAACCACGGGAAACUGGGGCUAAUACCGGAUGGUUCCUUCGGGAUAAAGAUUUAUCGCCAAAAGAUGAGUCCGCGUACGAUUAGCUAGUUGGUGAGGUAAUGGCUCACCAAGGCGACGAUCGUUAGCUGGCUGAGAGGACGAUCAGCCACACUGGGACUGAGACACGGCCCAGGACUCCUACGGGAGGCAGCAGUGGGGAAUAUUGGACAA